AUUUUGAGACAGAUUGAACAAUUGGAAAGUAUGAUCAGCUUUAGAAAAUUAAAAUGGAAAAUUAUCAGAACGGAAGAAUGAACCAUUUUCAUCCAUGACUUCACAUGGACUGUUUGAGUAUAGAGCCAGGUGAAACUGAAUUGUGAAUGAAAGUAUCUAGAAAUCCCAGAUGAGACUUUUAAAUCCAAGUAAGUUUGAAGCCACUUGAACUUUUCUAAGAUUCACUCCAGCAGCUUAUUUGCACUGAACACAGAAGUCUGAGGCAAGAAUGAGAAGAGACUAAAACGCACCAUAGGUCUAAGCCAGAAACUUUGAACUCAGAUCCAGAAGGAACAUCCAAAGAUCUACCAACCAGUCAGUCUUCCUCAAGCCCUGAGAAGGUGAUGAAGCAAUGAAUCCUGAAGUAUGUUUAGAAACGCAUGAAGAACUAGGAGGUAAUCAGGAACAGUCAGCAUGUAUUUACAGUGGAGAAAUCAUGCUUUUGCAAGCCCUUGUGAGGUCACAUCUGGAGUGCUAGGUCCAUUGCUGGUCUUCUCAGUAUAAGAGGGAAGGGACAUAAAGAUGAGUAAGGAAACGGAGCAUCUCUUCUAUGCGACAGGCUAACAGAACCAGG
rnacentral:lncRNA from 1 species